GCUUAUGUAACAGCGGCGCCCGGCGCGCCCCGCUCGCUCGCGGCCUCUGAUGGGUACCCGGCCAGCCUCAGCGCUCCGAGACUCGGGGAGCAGGGCGGCGCGGCUUGGAUUUAAUGAACCUCCCCAGCGGCCGGAGCCGGGAAGCCGCAGCCGCGGGAGCGGCGGCAGCCCGGGGGCCUUCCGCGCGGGGGCACGCGGCGACCGCGCCUCAAAAGUUCUCGCGGGGAAUGAGCCCGGGAGGGCCGCCAAGCACGAGACCCGCACCCGUUUCUGAAAGUCGGCCAGAGCUGCUUGACAGGCCUACCUGGGGAAUACGACCUUCCCCUGUCAAAUGCCUUUCAAAGUCUCUCUCCUCCUUCCACCCCAGCCCUUUCAUUUGUGUACCUGAAACGUGACUCUCUUUCUGAACCCUUAAAACUAGAGGAAAAAAAAAUCCUUCACCGCUAUCAACGUGAAGUCACUGAGCACGCAGUUGGAAAGAGAUGUGCACAGCCCGCUGUCACAAGCCCCGGAGCACACCCCUGUACCUCGACCCCACUCUGCCUCCUUUGAGUCUCUUCUCUUACAGCAGCAUCUGGUAACCAAGUGGGAUUAGUCAGCAACUAAAGAGGAAAGCUCGGCGCAUUACUACGUCUUAGUUCUUUGGAAUCCCGGAAACCAGCCUGCGGCAUCAAAUAUAAAGAUGCAAGGGAGAGACCUGGAGAGAAAGCCCAAUAGUCAUCUCCCAGUUUGCAGAAAUGGAGUCAGAACUGGUAGGAUGUCAUCUUUCAGGUCUUGCUCUUCACUGUCACCCUCAUCUUGGCAUUACUUCCCACUGCGUUUAGCUCAACAACCUUUACUGAGGUAGAUACUGGGACUAGAAAGAAGAGCAAGAUACCCUCUUUGCCCUUUGGAAAUUCAUAGUUUAAUCCCUGCUUUGUUGAAGGACUGAGGCACAGGAAAAUUAAUUGCCGUGGGUAACACCGUUUGAUCCGUCUGGGCUGAGAGGGAAAAUGAACAGUCAAUAGCAGCUCACACAAACCCCUCCUUACUGUUCACUCAUCAAAACCCCUUAUCCUUCCUAAACGUAAGGGGUAGUGAAUCAGCUGUGGGUUUUUUCCCUCCCGUGUAUGUUUUUUUUAGACAAUAAAGUUUUUUGGUGUUAAA